AUGACCUUAUUCUGGUUUGCCCGGUGGGCUAGAGACUCUCCCUUCGCCACACGCUUCCCCGACCUCUUCUCCAUUGCUAUAGACCCCCUGAUUUCUAUUGAGAGGGCCCUUAUUGACUUAGGGCACCUUGCUUUCCGGAGGCCUUUUGGCCCCCCGGAAUCUGCCGCUUGGCGUGAGUUACUAGAUUGCGUUGCCCUACACGAGCCUGUGGUGGACGGUGGACUGGACCAGGUGAGAUGGCGGCUCGAGCCUUCGGGCCAAUUCUCCACCAAAUCCCUCUACCAGGCCAUCGCCCCCCUCCUCCGCCCCUUCCCCCUUUCGAUGGUGUGGUCCAUCCGCGUGCCUUUGAAAAUCCGGAUCUUCAUGUGGCAAUGGAUUCGCGGCCGGAUCCCGUCUGGCGUCGAGGUUCGCAAGCGCAACGGUCCGGGCACCGGCCUUUGCCCACUUUGCGGUAUCCCUGAAGACUCGAACCACAUCUUCUUCUCUUGCGUGUCCGCUCAAUUCGUGUGGAGCUGCUUCCGCAAAGUGGUGGGUGGAAAUUGGUGCCACACCAACUUCCCCGACCUGUAUGCAAGCUCCAGACCUCCCCCUUGA
rnacentral:rRNA from 1 species